rnacentral:lncRNA from 1 species
CAGGCAGAACUCCACACAAUACUGACACACCUACCCUGCUUCCUGAGCACUGAAGAACAGAGACAGACAGAUCAUCUCCUUCAGAGUUGUAAAGGGGUCAGGAGCCAGGCAAGGAGAGCCCGAACAAGAAGAGCAUUUUCCUGGGUUCUUCCAGCUGUUCUGCUCACUCCCGCCGUCAGUUCUGAGCAGGGAAGAGAGGCUGUCAACACAAAUAAGGCAUUUUUCAAAGGCGUAAAUUAUGAGUUCCCAAAACAAUGCGACAUCUCAACCACGUGAGUACCCUUACCCCCCUCCCCCCGUACAGUGAGAGUGGAUUUAUCAGUCCGUCGCUUAAGGAAAAGAUUCUCUAAUGCAUUUCAUAUAGGGAAAAAAAAAAAAAAAAAAAAAAAAAAACCCCCCCCCCCCCCCCCCCCCCCCCCCCCCCCCCCCCCCCCCCCCCCCCCCCCCCCCCCCCCCCCCCCCCCCCCCCCCCCCCCCCCCCCCCCCC